UGCUCCUGAGCGCCCCCUGGAGUGUCCUUUGCUACUACGCUGAGGAGAUCAGUCUCCGGGUCCCUCUGCAGAUGGUAACCACACCAAACUACAACUGGUCAGAGAGGACACUAGAGAAAACAAAAAUCCCAAACCUCAUGAGCCAAGAUGUGCCCAACCUGCCCCCGGACUAUUACACCUGCCAGUUUCGCACCAACAAACUGGAAAGGUUUCUGGGCAGUGAGAAUAAGGAGAUGUUCUUCAAGACUACCCAAAGACACCAAGUAGUGAGUUUGCCA